UGGUAUUUGGGAGUUUAAUCACUUUGUUUAUACAGCUUAUAUAACUAAAUAUUAUAUAAGCUGUAUAAACAAAGUGAUUAAACUCCCAAAUACCG
rnacentral:miRNA from 1 species